UACGGGGGGGGCAAGCGUUGUUCGGAAUUACUGGGCGUAAAGGGCUCGUAGGCGGCCAACUAAGUCGGACGUGAAAUCCCCAGGCUCAACCUGGGAACUGCGUCCGAUACUGGAUGGCUUGAAUUCGGGAGAGGGAUGCAGAAUUCCAGGUGUAGCGGUGAAAUGCGUAGAUAUCUGGAGGAAUACCGGUGGCGAAGGCGGCAUCCUGGACCGACAUUGACGCUGAGGCGCGACAGCGUGGGGAGCAAACAGG
rnacentral:rRNA from 1 species